ACGCUGGCGGCGUGCCUAAUACAUGCAAGUAGAACGCUGAAGAGAGGAGCUUGCUCUUCUUGAAUGAGUUGCGAACGGGUGAGUAACGCGUAGGUAACCUGCCUUGUAGCGGGGGAUAACUAUUGGAAACGAUAGCUAAUACCGCAUAACAAUGGGUGACACAUGUCAUUUAUUUGAAAGGGGCAAUUGCUCCACUACAAGAUGGACCUGCGUUGUAUUAGCUAGUAGGUGAGGUAACGGCUCACCUAGGCGACGGUACAUAGCCGACCUGAGAGGGUGAUCGGCCACACUGGGACUGAGACACGGCCCAGACUCCUACGGGAGGCAGCAGUAGGGAAUCUUCGGCAAUGGGGGCAACCCUGACCGAGCAACGCCGCGUGAGUGAAGAAGGUUUUCGGAUCGUAAAGCUCUGUUGUAAGUCAAGAACGAGUGUGAGAGUGGAAAGUUCACACUGUGACGGUAGCUUACCAGAAAGGGACGGCUAACUACGUGCCAGCAGCCGCGGUAAUACGUAGGUCCCGAGCGUUGUCCGGAUUUAUUGGGCGUAAAGCGAGCGCAGGCGGUUUGAUAAGUCUGAAGUUAAAGGCUGUGGCUCAACCAUAGUUCGCUUUGGAAACUGUCAAACUUGAGUGCAGAAGGGGAGAGUGGAAUUCCAUGUGUAGCGGUGAAAUGCGUAGAUAUAUGGAGGAACACCGGUGGCGAAAGCGGCUCUCUGGUCUGUAACUGACGCUGAGGCUCGAAAGCGUGGGGAGCGAACAGGAUUAGAUACCCUGGUAGUCCACGCCGUAAACGAUGAGUGCUAGGUGUUGGAUCCUUUCCGGGAUUCAGUGCCGCAGCUAACGCAUUAAGCACUCCGCCUGGGGAGUACGACCGCAAGGUUGAAACUCAAAGGAAUUGACGGGGGCCCGCAC
rnacentral:rRNA from 1 species